CUUAUCGGUGACUUUAUUUAUGUUGCAAAUAAAUGUUUCAAAUAAACUGUCAUGAGCUUCAUUAACUUGGCGCACCAAAGAUGGUGGAAAAGUGUUGUUUUUCGAUAUUUUAAGUUUUAUACAUAGUUUUUAGAAAAACGUACAGAAGAAAAAAAAAUGUUUUGUGUAUAGAAAUAUUAAUCCCGAUAUUGAUGGUAUACUCUUGUGUUAGUAGGAAACAAUGUAAACUGUUUGAUAGUUUAAGGGAUCAAAGAAGGACUUGAAAACAACUAACAAAAUACCCAACCGUUGAUGAAAGAACAGAACCAUUUAGAGAUGUUUUACAGAGAGCAAUAUCCAACAUUGAAAACUGGAGAAAAUGAAUGCGAACAGAAAGAUUAGAUAUUUUUCCACAACCCAGAAGACUUUGUUCUUGUGUCUCCACCUCUCAUCCUUUGUAUCCAGUUGAUAACUUCCGUGUCUUCUGCUCAACGUAGUUGGUCUUCGAACUCAAAGUUCUUGAAAGGUGAACCAGAAUACGAAGCUAGAGAAGAUCAAUUUGAAUAUUCAAGAACAUGAAAGAUUUUUCCUUGUAAAGUAUCUGUACUGAAACACUAAAGGAUUUAUGAUGUCAGUGUAAAAAAA
rnacentral:lncRNA from 1 species